rnacentral:tRNA from 1 species
UCCCUGGUGGUCCAGUGGCUAAGACUCUGCACUCCCAGUGCAGGGGGCCAGGGCUCGAUUCCUGGUCAGGGAA